GCCCAGCCGUAAACUUUUACUUACAUCCAAAUUGCCUGGGAACUACGAGCUAAGCUUAAAACCCAAAGGACUUGACGGUACCCCAUAUCCCCCUAGAGGAGCCUGUCCUAUAAUCGAUAAUCCACGUUUAACCUCACCAUUUUUAGUUAAUCAGCCUGUAUACCUCCGUCGUCAGCUUACCACGUGAGCGCCAAUUAGUGAGCCUAAUGAUAUUUCACCAAUACGUCAGGUCAAGGUGCAGCAAAUAAAAUGGGAAGAGAUGGGCUACACUUUCUACCAUAGAAGAAACGAAAAACUACUUAUGAAACCUAGUUGGAAGGCGGAUUUAGCAGUAAAAAGGAACUAGCAUAUCCAUUUUAACUCGGCACUGGGGUGUGUACACACCGCCCGUCACCCU
rnacentral:rRNA from 1 species